rnacentral:rRNA from 1 species
GAAAGCGUGGGGAGCAAACAGGAUUAGAUACCCUGGUAGUCCACGCUGUAAACGAUGUCGACUUGGAGGUUGUGCCCUUGAGGCGUGGCUUCCGGAGCUAACGCGUUAAGUCGACCGCCUGGGGAGUACGGCCGCAAGGUUAAAACUCAAAUGAAUUGACGGGGGCCCGCACAAGCGGUGGAGCAUGUGGUUUAAUUCGAUGCAACGCGAAGAACCUUACCUACUCUUGACAUCCAGAGAAUUCGCUAGAGAUAGCUUAGUGCCUUCGGGAACUCUGAGACAGGUGCUGCAUGGCUGUCGUCAGCUCGUGUUGUGAAAUGUUGGGUUAAGUCCCGCAACGAGCGCAACCCUUAUCCUUUGUUGC